CAGAGGGACCGACACCGAAUCAUGAAGUGAUAAUAGAUGUAGUAACAUCUGGCAAUUUGAUUUAGAACAGAUGAAAAAGAUGGAACCAUGUCCAAUGAUAAGCGGACUCCUCUGCUGUUGGAUAUUAAGACGAAAUUAUUGAUGAAUCAUAGGUCAUAAGUACAAAGCUAAACUCUCAUGGAGAUCAUAACUCAAACCAUGGAGCAAAAAGGUGGCUUCAUUUUCAAACCAAAAUUCUUCCGUAUCCAUUUUCUCAGACAAAUGUCAAAGGAAUCCAAGUAUAUGACAGCCAAAAAGUAGAAUCUUAAGUUGCUUAUAAGCUAAAAGUUGAGGAGAACAUAAGCCAAUGCCCAUAAGAAUUCAUCCUAAGGACUACAGAGUUCUAGAGCUCCUUAUCAAUUCAGUCGUAUGCGGGAUUUAGACAACCUAACCAUGCACUUUAGCAUGCUUGCAUGGUAACAAAUUGGACGCGCCAGCUACACUUGCUUCGCAAUUUCCAACUACUUCAGACUCAUGAGCUUUAUGUUUCUCUCCAACAUCCCGUGAAUUUCCCCUAUGGGUACAUUAGAUGAAUUCCCGCUUGUUUCACUACCCUCGACUUGUUCUCCCGAAUCAUCUUUGGAGAGAGCAUUUCCCACUGAAUCCAUGAAGUCCUUUAAGGGGUUCUCAAUCGUGGAUGAAGUCCCCUUGAGGAAGUCCAUGCACGACUUGAACUGCUUCUCAAACAUCAUCUGAAGGUGACGCCCUUGUUCUUCUAUUUGAAGCUACAAUUUUCUUUGAAUCUGCAGAAGAAUAAUUAGAACAUAAUGUUUGAAAGGAAUAACCAGAAACUGCUAGGGUCACACUCGAAAUUUUACUCCCUAAUUUGCCUUUGAGUAUUUAAAUUAAAAUGCCAGAUACAAAAUCUCGACUAAGCUGCAGCACUUUCACUAGGCUGCAAACUUGACACUAGGGAACUUAUCAAACAAGACAGCAAGUGUGCACCUGUAAAAGAUAUUUUACUAUGAUACUAUCCACAGAAACAAGAUCCCUCAGCAAAUCGUCAAACAUAGCAAUAAUACAAGACUGCAUUAGUAUAUAUUUCUCUAUUGCUGCCAGAAGCAUUAAUAAUCUGUUUAUUUUAUGUAUUAAAUAUUAAAUUUUGCAUUAGUCAAAUAAAAACGCAAUUAAUAAUCUGUUUAUUUUAUGUAUCAAAUAUUAAAUUUUGCAUUAGUCAAAUAAAACUCAGGAACCUGAUAUGUGGCUUAACCUAUAUUAUAUGCCACCUUCAAGUUAAAACCAAUGCAGCACGUGAAUUCAUACCAAAGGCUUUUGGACUUCCAUUUGCAGUCAACUAUUCAAAAACCAGAGGUGCACACAAUCAGCGACAGAACAUAUAGAAUAUAAAAAACUAAAAGGAAGCUGAGCUCAGUUAUAAUUGUAUCUAUCCUUACGAAUUGUCUAAGAUAUUAAACUUCCAAAAUUUGACAAGUUCCACCAUUCUCGUUGAAACCACAAUAUAUUUGCUAGUUCCAGAUUGUCCACACACACGAGUCACUCAUUAAUCCUCCAUCUGCCAACGUGUUUGUGAAUAUUAUGUAACUUUAGCACAACAGACUUCCAUAACAAACUACUUUACCAAAAUGUCUAAUUCUUUUUCAUACUUCAAUUUCAAUUAGAAAUUGAUGGUCUUCUAAUCCUUUUCUCUUGAAAAAUUAUAAGAGAGAUUAAUAUCUACCAAUCAUCCAUGUUAUUCUACAGGAAUAACUGGGAGAAGAAAACAGUAGAGCAAAGGUAUGAAGUGUAGUUGUCGAAUUGUUUGGUCACUGGUGGCAUAAGGUAAAACAUAUAAUAUCACAAUAGAAAGAAGAAACAAGGCACAUCUCCAUUCAAAAAAUUAAAAGAAGUCGAGUGUAGAAAAUGAGGUUCAUCAUCCUACAUAUAUGUGCAAAGCCAGAGAAUUAGAAGAGGAAGCCAAUUAAACGGAACAUAUAUAAACUAAGAGAAACAUUUAAAAUAUUAAAUAUCGUGCCCAGAGGUUCAGAUACUAAUAAUUAUCGAACUCCAAAAACUACAUUAACUACAAGACAUGAACUUAAGUAAAAGAAGUAAUUUACCGAUCAAAAAAGUAAAAGAAGCAACUUACAUUUUCUUGUCUAAAGAUGACAGAUUUUCAAUACAUGUCCUUUUCUUUUCUUUUCUUUUCAUUUUUAUUUGUGAAGAUUCUGCCAAAAAAAAAAAAAAAUCUGAAGUGACAAUGAAGAUUUCCUUUCAUAUGUAGCAUAACAUAUAUAGCAUAUUCUAAAUUCAAUGACAAUCAUGAACCAGAGACGUCAUUGAAGAAGUUAUGUUCACGAUUGAGCUAAGUGAAAUAGUUUGAAAAGAUAGAUUACUUCAUGGUGCAAGCAAUGCAUUGGAGUUUAAGAGUCAGAAGAAUAAGAAUUUUGAAUUAAAAUUGUGCUGCAAAUAUAUAUUUUUUAGUAUUGUAGCAACAUAAAAAUAUGAAGUGUUGUAAUAUACUCAAUUCUAACUUUAAUAUUUAAGUAUCUGACAUUCACUAUCUAGUUUAUUAUAUGACAGUAUAACUG
rnacentral:lncRNA from 1 species